rnacentral:rRNA from 1 species
AUUGAACGCUGGCGGCAGGCCUAACACAUGCAAGUCGAGCGGAUGAAGGGAGCUUGCUCCUGGAUUCAGCGGCGGACGGGUGAGUAAUGCCUAGGAAUCUGCCUGGUAGUGGGGGAUAACGUCCGGAAACGGGCGCUAAUACCGCAUACGUCCUGAGAGAGAAAGUGGGGGAUCUUCGGACCUCACGCUAUCAGAUGAGCCUAGGUCGGAUUAGCUAGUUGGUGGGGUAAAGGCCUGCCAAGGCGACGAUCCGUAACUGGUCUGAGAGGAUGAUCAGUCACACUGGAACUGAGACACGGUCCAGACUCCUACGGGAGGCAGCAGUGGGGAAUAUUGGACAAUGGGCGAAAGCCUGAUCCAGCCAUGCCGCGUGUGUGAAGAAGGUCUUCGGAUUGUAAAGCACUUUAAGUUGGGAGGAAGGGCAGUAAGUUAAUACCUUGCUGUUUUGACGUUACCAACAGAAUAAGCACCGGCUAACUUCGUG